rnacentral:rRNA from 1 species
AGGCUUGUAUGAAUGGUUGGACAAGGGGGAAGCUGUCUCUUUUUACAAUUUUUGAAUUUUACUUUUAAGUGAAAAGGCUUAAAUAAUUUGGGGGGACGAUAAGACCCUAUAAAAUUUUACAAAAUUGGGAUUUUUUUUUGAAUUAAGGUUUAAAUUCUAUAAGUUCUUAUUUGUUUUGUUGGGGCGGCAAAGAUAAAAAUUAGUAACUGUCAUUUAAUUAGAAUAAUUAUAAUUAGUUUAAUUGAUCCUUUAUUAGAGAUUAAAAGAUUAAGUUACUUUAGGGAUAACAGCGUAAU